CACGUAGGGGGCGAGCGUUGUCCGGAUUUAUUGGGCGUAAAGAGCUCGUAGGCGGCUCAGUAAGUCAGGUGUGAAAACUCCAGGCUCAACCUGGAGACGCCACCUGAUACUGCUGUGGCUAGAGUCCGGUAGGGGAGCAUGGAAUUCCUGGUGUAGCGGUGAAAUGCGCAGAUAUCGGGAGGAACACCAGUGGCGAAGGCGGCGAUCUGGGAAGAUACUGACGCUGAGGUGCGAAAGCGUGGGGAGCAAACAGG
rnacentral:rRNA from 1 species